AUUCCAGCUCCGAUAGCGUAUAUUUAAGUUGCUGCAGUUAAAAAGCUCGUAGUUGGAUUUCGGGUGGGAAUGGCCGGUCCGCCGUUUCGGUGUGCACUUGCUACGCCCACCUUGCUGCCGGGGACGUGCUCUUGAGUUCACGCUCGGGACACGGAGUCGGCGAGGUUACUUUGAGUAAAUUAGAGUGUUCAAAGCAGGCCUACGCUCUGAAUACAUUAGCAUGGAAUAACACGAUAGGACUCUGGCCUAUCUUGUUGGUCUGUAGGACCGGAGUAAUGAUUAAGAGGGACAGUCGGGGGCAUUCGUAUUUCAUUGUCAGAGGUGAAAUUCUUGGAUUUAUGAAAGACGAACUACUGCGAAAGCAUCUGCCAAGGAUGUUUUCAUUA
rnacentral:rRNA from 1 species